UACGUAGGGGGCAAGCGUUGUCCGGAUUUAUUGGGCGUAAAGAGCGUGUAGGCGGCCUUACAGGUCAGCUGUGAAAACUCGAGGCUCAACCCCGAGACGUCGGUUGAAACCGUAUGGCUAGAGUCCGGAAGAGGAGAGUGGAAUUCCCGGUGUAGCGGUGAAAUGCGCAGAUAUCGGGAAGAACACCCGUGGCGAAGGCGGCUCUCUGGGACGGUACUGACGCUGAGACGCGAAAGCGUGGGGAGCGAACAGG
rnacentral:rRNA from 1 species